rnacentral:rRNA from 1 species
CCUACGGGUGGCAGCAGUGGGGAAUAUUGGGCAAUGGGCGCAAGCCUGACCCAGCAACGCCGCGUGAAGGAAGAAGGCUUUCGGGUUGUAAACUUCUUUUGUCAGGGACGAAGCAAGUGACGGUACCUGACGAAUAAGCCACGGCUAACUACGUGCCAGCAGCCGCGGUAAUACGUAGGUGGCAAGCGUUAUCCGGAUUUAUUGGGUGUAAAGGGCGUGCAGCCGGGAAGACAAGUCAGAUGUGAAAUCCCGCGGCUCAACCGCGGAACUGCAUUUGAAACUGUUUUUCUUGAGUACCGGAGAGGUCAUCGGAAUUCCUUGUGUAGCGGUGAAAUGCGUAGAUAUAAGGAAGAACACCAGUGGCGAAGGCGGAUGACUGGACGGCAACUGACGGUGAGGCGCGAAAGCGUGGGGAGCAAACAGGAUUAGAUACCCUUGUAGUC